rnacentral:tRNA from 1 species
UGGGCCGUAGCCAAGUGGCAAGGCAACGGACUUUGACUCCGUCAUCCGAUGGUUCGAAUCCAUCCGGCCCAGCCA